GGGCUGUAUGUUUUUUCUCAAUAUGUCUUCAUUCAAGUACUGCAAAAACACUUUGUUGCUCAAAGUGCCAGAAAACAUUCUAUAACAUUCGUUGCGACAUUCUAAUAAACAUUCUUUCUGUCUCUCUUUGAGAGCCAACCACCUCCUCCCAUGUAGUUCUGCUUGCGAUAAGUUAGUCAGUCUACCACUGCAGGCAAACAAACAGUACCAAUACAGUGCACUACUUUUGAACAGGGCCCAUAUUGUUCCGGUCAAAAGUAGUGCACUAUGUAGUGGAUUAGGGUGCCAUUUCAGACACAUUCAUAAAGUCUGAAAUGACAAAAAACAACAAAAAAAACAGUCAAGAUUUCGCACCUCCUGACCUUUUUAAAGGAUUAGAGUGUAAAGACUAAGGCCUCUGCAAAUCACAAGACCGGAACAUAAAACAAACCAGCCACAAUUUAAAUCUAUUAAAAACAAACCAACUAAAACAGACCAAAAAAAAACAACACCACAGACAUACGGAUCCAUUUGGAUAGGUAUGAAUUGGUUCCCAAGCAGUGGAGUUGAUCAGGUGAGUCCCCACCUCAAGGACAAGUCCAGGUAGUUCCUCCCUGUUUCGGCCCGUUAGCUUCCGUUUCGUGCCUAAUGAACCAGAGCCCGCUGUCCUCCAGCCGUCCAUCCGUGUGUCUACAGAGCAAUGAACACUGUCAGGGUUUACUCCUCACCUCCCUCACCCAAUGAGGUAACUGUGUGGUCCUGAAAGGAAUCCCCUUGUUUGUGAAAUCCACCAAUCACCUUCCCUAGUCCCUACGCAUGUGUCCCCCUCCUUCAGCAUGAAGUGAGGCUCUAACAGUUCAGACAGGAAGUAGUCCCUGUUAAUGGCAGGGGAUGUGUUGAGGGCGUAUUGACUUGUGAAGUAGUGAGGGCGAGCCGUGGCUUCACUGCCAGUCAGUUGUCCACCUUCACAGGGCCUGAGUCGUGGUUCGAUGGUUCCUCAGUGCUGGGCUCUACCCUGGGAUCAACAGGCUCUGCCCUGGGAUCAACAGGCUCUGCCCUGGGGUCAACAGGCUCUGCCCUGGGGUCAACAGGCUCUGCCCUGGGGUCAACAGGCUCUGCCCUGGGGUCAACAGGCUCUGCCCUGGGAUCAACAGGCUCUGACGGAGCCCACACUCCUCUCACUCCACUGUCCACCUCCUC
ensembl:lncRNA